rnacentral:rRNA from 1 species
GACGAACGCUGGCGGCGUGCUUAACACAUGCAAGUCGAACGAAGUGGCGAACGGGUGAGUAACGCGUAAUCAACCUGCCCUUCAGAGGGGGACAACAGUUGGAAACGACUGCUAAUACCGCAUACUGAAGGAGGGGAUUGCGUCUGAUUUGCUAGUUGGGGGGGUAACGGCCCACCAAGGCGAUGAUGAGUAGCCGGGUUUGGAGUAUGAGCGGCGAAAUUGGUCAUUAUGCACGGCCCAGACUCCUACGAGAGGCAGCGGUGGGAAAUCUUCCGAAAUGGACGAAAGUAUGACGGAGCAACGCCGCGUGAGUGAUGACGGCCUUCGGGUUGUAAAGCUCUGGUAAUCGGUACGCGGUACCGGAAUAGAAAGCCACGGCUAACUACGUGCCAGCAGCCGCGGUAAUAC